rnacentral:rRNA from 1 species
UGACGGUACCUGGAGAAAAAGCCACGGCUAACUACGUGCCAGCAGCCGCGGUAAUACGUAGGUGGCAAGCGUUGUCCGGAUUUACUGGGUGUAAAGGGCGUGUAGGCGGAGUAGCAAGUCAGAAGUGAAAUCUAGGGGCUCAACCCCUAAACUGCUUUUGAAACUGUUACCCUUGAGUAUCGGAGAGGCAGGCGGAAUUCCUAGUGUAGCGGUGAAAUGCGUAGAUAUUAGGAGGAACAUCAGUGGCGAAGGCGGUUUACUGGACUGUAACUGACGCUGAGGCGCGAAAGCGUGGGGAGCAAACAGGAUUAGAUACCCUG